UAAGCAACUUGUACUGUGAAACUGCGAAUGGCUCAUUAAAUCAGUUAUCGUUUAUUUGAUAGUACCUUACUACAUGGAUACCUGUGGUAAUUCUAGAGCUAAUACAUGCUAAAAACCCCGACUUCAGGAAGGGGUGUAUUUAUUAGAUAAAAAACCAACGCCCUUCGGGGCUCCUUGGUGAAUCAUAAUAACUUAACGAAUCGCAUGGCCUUGCGCCGGCGAUGGUUCAUUCAAAUUUCUGCCCUAUCAACUUUCGAUGGUAGGAUAGUGGCCUACCAUGGUGGCAACGGGUAACGGGGAAUUAGGGUUCGAUUCCGGAGAGGGAGCCUGAGAAACGGCUACCACAUCCAAGGAAGGCAGCAGGCGCGCAAAUUACCCAAUCCCGAUACGGGGAGGUAGUGACAAUAAAUACUGAUACGGGGCUCUUUUGGGUCUCGUAAUUGGAAUGAGAACAAUUUAAAUCCCUUAACGAGGAACAAUUGGAGGGCAAGUCUGGUGCCAGCAGCCGCGGUAAUUCCAGCUCCAAUAGCGUAUAUUAAAGUUGUUGCAGUUAAAAAGCUCGUAGUUGAACCUUGGGUCUGGCUGGCCGGUCCGCCUCACCGCGAGUACUGGUCCGGCUGGACCUUUCCUUCUGGGGAACCUCAUGGCCUUCACUGGCUGUGGGGGGAACCAGGACUUUUACUGUGAAAAAAUUAGAGUGUUCAAAGCAGGCCUUUGCUCGAAUACAUUAGCAUGGAAUAAUAGAAUAGGACGUGUGGUUCUAUUUUGUUGGUUUCUAGGACCGCCGUAAUGAUUAAUAGGGAUAGUCGGGGGCGUCAGUAUUCAGCUGUCAGAGGUGAAAUUCUUGGAUUUGCUGAAGACUAACUACUGCGAAAGCAUUCGCCAAGGAUGUUUUCAUUAAUCAGGGAACGAAAGUUAGGGGAUCGAAGACGAUCAGAUACCGUCGUAGUCUUAACCAUAAACUAUGCCGACUAGGGAUCGGACGGGAUUCUAUAAUGACCCGUUCGGCACCUUACGAGAAAUCAAAGUUU
rnacentral:rRNA from 1 species